rnacentral:lncRNA from 1 species
CCGAUGCCUGUGAUGGUGUUAAAUAUACUUUGCAGAUUAACUUCUAUGAAAAAACCUUCAAAUCUGAGGCAACAGGCUUUUGGAUCUUUAUAUUCUACACGGUUUUCUCUCUUUUGUUUCUUGCUCAGAUCUGGGCUUUGAUUGUUUGUUACAAUGAUUCAAAUUGUUUGUGUUUUUGGAUUGCAAGUGAUGAGAAAACAGACAGGGACAUCUGCACUCCACGGAGAUUGAUGACUUGUUCUAAUGGGAAUCUCUCUGAUGCUUUGAUUUACUCUAAUUUCUUGUGUUCUCUCUUGAUUUUUUUUUCAUUUCAAUUUUCACCGUUUAAUGCUUACCCAAAAGUUGCAAGCUUCUUUCAGAAUUAAUCCAAAAUUUUGAGCCUUUAUCAGUUUAUGAAUGCCUUUAACCCCAAUGGGGACUUUUCUGAUGCAGAGGCUUUGCGGUUUUAAUGGUUUUCUCUUUGCCGAUGAUGUAUUUAUGCACGUAUUAUCAGAUAUCAAAGUGUGAUGAUAUAUGUCAUUGUUGUCACUACCUCUGAGGCA